UGGGUCAAGGAGAAGCCGGGGGUCCUCAACCCGGAAUUUCUGGAUCUCCGCGAAGAAUUUAACGGCACCUACACGGCCACCAGCACCUUGGCCAUCUCCACCCAAGACUGGGAAGCCGGCGAACGCUUCACCUGCAUGGUCAAGCACGACGACCUCGUGGUGACACUCAACAAGAGCAUCUCCAGGCGGUCAGGAGACUGCCUGGUCCACGCCUUCCACCCCGAGAACAUCCAAGUCCAGUGGCUGAAGAACCACGAGAACGUGGCCGAGGAGGCCUACGUCACCACGCCGCCCCUGCGCGACGGUCCCAAGGAGAGCACCUUCUUCGUCUACAGCAAGAUGACGGUCCUCAAGAGCAGCUGGCUGAGCGGCGACGUCUACUCCUGCAUGGUGGUCCACGAAGGGUUGCCCAUGAGGUUCACCCAACGCCAAGCACAGAAGAACCCUGGUAAAUAA